UACGUAGGUGGCGAGCGUUGUCCGGAUUUACUGGGCGUAAAGAGCGCGCAGGCGGCUGGUCAAGUCCGAUGUGAAAGCUCCCGGCUUAACUGGGAAAUUGCAUCGGAAACUGAUCGGCUGGAAGGUGGGAGAGGGUAGCGGAAUUCCCGGUGUAGUGGUGAAAUGCGUAGAUAUCGGGAGGAACACCAGUGGCGAAGGCGACUUCCUGGCCUGUUCUUGACGCUGAGGCGCGAAAGCUAGGGUAGCAAACGGG
rnacentral:rRNA from 1 species